CAAAUCCCUAAAAGACCAUCCCAGUUCGGAUUGCAGGCUGAAACCCGCCUGUAUGAAGUUGGAAUCGCUAGUAAUCGCGGAUCAGCAUGCCGCGGUGAAUACGUUCCCGGGCCUUGUACACACCGCCCGUCACACCAUGAGAGUCGGGAACACCCGAAGUCCGUAGUCUAACCGCAAGGGGACGCGGCCGAAGGUGGGUUCGAUAAUUGGGGUGAAGUCGUAACAAGGUACC
rnacentral:rRNA from 1 species